UACAGAGGUCCCAAGCGUUGUUCGGAUUCAUUGGGCGUAAAGGGUGCGUAGGUGGCGCCGUAAGUCGGGUGUGAAAUUUCGGAGCUUAACUCCGAAACUGCAUUCGAUACUGCGGUGCUUGAGGACUGGAGAGGAGACUGGAAUUCAUGGUGUAGCAGUGAAAUGCGUAGAGAUCAUGAGGAAGACCAGUGGCGAAGGCGGGUCUCUGGACAGUUCCUGACACUGAGGCACG
rnacentral:rRNA from 1 species